GCCAAUUUGUAGCAAGCCCGGGCUGUAGACCUGACUCAAACUGCCUCUUAAUAGACCUAUAGGAAGAUAGAUCUUAAAAUUGAAGAAAAGACACAAAUAGCAUUUUAACAAGCGAGAAUCAAAAAGUGCGACAGCUUCAGCUCGGAUAACGGCGUUCCACGCCCCGGAAGGUGCAAGCGACCAAAUGGACCUUCCUUUCCCCGUUCUCCUACAAACUCCUAUCCCUACAGUGAAGCCAACAAGAAAGUGGAUCCCGUGGCCGAACCCCUGCACCAAAUCAGCAUCCAAGAGAACAUCUCGGCCCAAUUCGACGCGCGUCGCGGCCGCUGCCCCUUCCCCAGCGGUGGCGGUGGCGGUGGAGGCGGACCUGGAGAGGAGGAAGUACGAUCUCCUGAGAGCUGUCCAGGACACGCAGCGCGGCCUCGUCACCACCGCCGACCAGCGCUCCUCCAUCGAGGAGGCCUUGGUGCGCGUGGAAGGAUAUGAUGCAGGCUUGCCGGUGGACCUAUCGAAGCUGGACGGCACGUGGCGGCUCAACUACACCUCGGCUUCCGAUGUUCUCGUCCUCUUCGAGGCUGCCGCCAGGCUCCCUUUCCUUCAGGUGGGACAAAUUUUUCAGAAGUUUGAAUGUAAGGAACGGUCUGAUGGAGGAAUUGUAAGGAAUGUUGUGCGCUGGAGCAUUCCAACUCUAUUAGAGGAGCAAGAGGGUGCAACACUGCUGGUCUCUGCAAAAUUUUCUGUUCUUUCUAAGCGCAACAUCUAUCUUCAGUUUGAAGAGGUCGCUGUGGAAAAUAUCAAGAUUAGCGAAGAGCUGCAAGCAUUGAUAGCUCCAGCUAUUCUUCCUCGUUCUUUUUUAAGCCUACAGAUUUUGCAGUUCCUUAGGACUUUUCGAGCUCAGGUGCCAGUGAGAAGCCCAGAAAGAUCACCUGGAGGCUUGUAUUAUCUAUCAUAUAUGGACCGUGACAUGCUUUUGGGCCGUUCUGUUGGGGGUGGUGGAGUUUUUGUUUUCACCCGAGCACAACCUCUUGCAUCAUAACUGAUGUUAGAUUUACAACCAGAUCAUGAUCUCAUGCUUCACGUAUGGACUUAGGAAAUCUGAUUACUGAGGUGUAAUGUAAUCAGAACCUGAGAUUCUGAGAGGUGGAAACUAUCAAGCAUCACGGGUAAAAGCAAAAAAUUAUGAACACGAAUUAUCUUAAUUGGUGUUUCCUUUGUCAUAUGAUUAAUUAUAUGUAAGUUGAACUAAUUCUCGAAAGAUGUUCCAUGAAAUAUCAGAGGACACAAUAAUCUUGAAAUUUUGGAACGUGAUUCCGGUGUUGCAUCAAUUUUGACAAUAUGAUCUGAAA